rnacentral:lncRNA from 1 species
UAAGUUGUGAUUUGUAAUCAGCAAAUCAGGCAAGUAUCCUACCUUUGCAUUUCCUUUAUGCAAUGGACAUGAGUAAGAAGUUUCAGGAUUAUUCUAUUCCUGUACAAAUUAUGUACGCUUUGAUUAUCAACAUGUUAGCUCAGAUAUAUAUUCUGUUAAGUUGAUUUCUAAAUGGUUAUACAAGUGUCCCCACUUGGAUAAUCAUGGCAUUUAUUCACAUGUUGAUACACUUUUUCAAUUACCCGUAUAUAUAUAUGUUGAAUUACAUAUUAUUGUUGAGCAAGAUUAAAAACCUUCGAUUUUGGAACCAGGCAUGUAUGAACAUCCCUAUAUGGGAAAAUUUUUGCGCCCGAGGCGGAU